GGUGGGCCUCAGUCGCCUGCAGGGAAGCACCGCGUGCGGCUGCUGGGCUGGUGACCUCCUGCUGUCCCGGCCCUCCACUGCCAGAAGCCUUUGCCGUUAGCACGGAGCGCGGCACCCUGCCUGGGCCUUUCGGCUCUGCCUCCCCUGCCUAUCACGGCGGGUCACGACAUCGGCCAGGACGCAGCAGAAGGGACAAGACACGCAAAGAAGAUGGCGCACCCACCUCGGCACAGAAGGCCAGUGCGACCUCCCGGGAGCAGGCGGGCCAGCACGGGUCUCCCUGCAAGCGACAGCUAAGCCGAGACCUGGGACUGCAGAGGAGAAGCAAGGAGGAGGCAGGCGGGGCCCGGUGCCCUCCUCGUCUGCCCUGCCGUGUGGACAGCCUGCUCGCCUGUCUGCGUGACGAAACUGAGGCCCAGAGAUGCGCUAUGCCAGCGGCGGGUAUAGCAAGGGCUCCCUCCGCGCGACGUGUUGCCAUCCACCACACAGGAACGACCGUCUCCGUGUCAUAGAUGGGAAACCAGGACGUGUAGGCAUCAGGGUUUCUCCAUGUCAGCCACGCUGGUCUGGAACUUCUGAGUUCAAGCGAUCCUCCCAUCUCAGCCUUCCAAAGUGCUGGGAUGACAGGUGUGAGCAGCUGCGCCCUGCAGGUGCAGGCCCUGGAAGACGAGGGAGGAGCCUGUGAGCCACCGGCCCACGUGAAAGUAAAUGCAUGAAGUUCCCUCUCGCUUAACUGAAAAAAAGCCUCAAUCUGGACCUGACACCAACUUCCCCGGUGCUGCCUGGCUGGUUGCCCUAGCGCCCCGAAGGAGAGGAAUGCAGUCAUAUUUCACUGUGAUUUUCAGUGUCAUUUCCACGAAGACUAAUGAUGUUGAGCUUUUUUUUCUCCAUAAUACAGGAAAGAGACACAAACCUAUGAAGAAUGAGAUGCGUGCACAGUUUUGAUUAUAAAACCAAAGAAUAAUGGCUUCACAAGAGGACGGCUGGGCUCCUGGGCUGCCUUCAAUGUCUUUAAACAGAGAUAGAGUUUUGCUAUGUUGUCCAGGCUGGCAUUGAACUCUUGGGCUCCAACGAUCCUCCUGCCUCGGCCUCCUGAGUAGCUGGGAUUACAGGCACGAGUCACCAUGCCCAGCCGGAAUAAUCUGAAGAAAAGAUGGGUAUAUUUAAGAUGAAUUUGCUGCUGGAAAUAUGACAGAAUAAUGUGGUAUCUUCCUCUGCACUUCCAAGCUCUUUCACACUCAGGCUCUUCAUGGCUUUUCUGCCUCAGACACCAUAAACUGUGGUUGCUUCUCCAGCUCUGUUACAGUUCAGACUUGAGGGGAGGUGAGAAGAGCUAACAAGUUACCACUGGGAGCCUGGCUGACAUCUCCGAAACUGAAGACUAUGGAAGCCUCAUGCUAUUGCAAUGUGUACAUCAAAAGUAAAGUACCCCAGGUUAAAACUAUGAGGAAGUUUGCAUCUUUACUUCCAGGAGCAAAGACACUGAAACUGUCCCCUGUAAGCCCCUUAAUUUCAUACAGUCCUCUGACCACCCUCCCAACCCCGGCUACUUUUUUUUGAAAUAAGGUCUCACUCUGUUACCCAGGCUGGAGUGCAGUGGCAAAAUCACAACACACUGCAGCUUUGACCUCAUGGGCUCAAGCAGUCCUCCCACCUUGGCCUCCUGGGUAGCUGGGACUACAGGCGUGCACUACCACACCCAGCUUAUUUUUUGUAGAGACAGGGUUUCGUCAUGUUGCCCAGGCUGGUCUCAGGAGUUCACUCCUAAGCUCAAGUGAUCCUCCUGCCUUGGCCUCCCAAAGUGCUGGGAUUACAGGCGUGAGCCACCAUGCCUGGUCCUUUGACCCUUUUAGCAGGAAAUCCAGCCCAGCCCCUGAACGGCAUAUUAGACAGUUCAACAAAGCCUUCUAGAAGACCAAAGAAGACUCAUAGGAAUAAGCCUCUUGCUGAUUAAUGGAAACAUGACCAUUUGUGGAGAAAGUGCAAUCUGCAUUGAACACCUUUAGGGGAUAUGUCAUUUAAGACUUCAAGCAUUACCAUGAAAACCUCCUCUGAGAAACCUUACAGACAACUCUGUAAAACAGAUUUAAAAAGAAACACAUUUCUGCU